rnacentral:misc_RNA from 1 species
GAACGCAUCUUGCGCUCCUUGGUAUUCCGAAGGGUAUGCUCGUUUGAGUGUCAUUGUACUCUCACACUCUCCAAUCCUCUGGAUCCGGGGAGUGGUGGACUUGGGCGUCUGCUGCUUGACCGUGGCUCGCUUUAAAUGGAUUAGUGCAACUCUUGGUUGGACAUAGUACGGCGUGAUAAGUGUCUUCGCCGGCACCUCGGAAGAGGGUGACUGAUUGAGAGCUCUGUGCUUCAAACUGUCUUCGGACAACCUCUGACAACUUGACCUCAAAUCGAGUAGGACUACCCGCUGAACUUAAG